GACGAACGCUGGCGGCGUGCUUAACACAUGCAAGUCGAGCGGUAAGGCCCUUUCGGGGGUACGACGAGCGGCGAACGGGUGAGUAACACGUGGGUGACCUGCCCUCAGUUCUGGGAUAAGCCUGGGAAACCGGGUCUAAUACUGGAUAUGACCUCAUGACGCAUGUUGUGGGGUGGAAAGCCUUGUGCGACUGAGGAUGGGCCCGCGGCCUAUCAGCUUGUUGGUGGGGUGAUGGCCUACCAAGGCGACGACGGGUAGCCGGCCUGAGAGGGCGACCGGCCACACUGGGACUGAGACACGGCCCAGACUCCUACGGGAGGCAGCAGUGGGGAAUCUUGCGCAAUGGGCGAAAGCCUGACGCAGCGACGCCGCGUGAGGGAUGACGGCCUGGU
rnacentral:rRNA from 1 species